AAAAAAUGGUACAGGAUGAAGAAAAACUGGUACAUGAUGAAGAAAAAAUAGUGCAGGAUGAAGAAAAAAUAGUGCAGGAUGAAGCAAAAAUGGUACAGGAUGAAGAAAAAAUAGUGCAGGAUGAAGCAAAAAUGGUACAGGAUGAAGAAAAAAUUGUGCAGGAUGAAGAAAAAGUGGUGCGACAAGAUCUGAAUGAAAGCACAGUGGAAUUAGGACUGAACUUAAAUGCUAACGAUGAGGAUGCUG
rnacentral:lncRNA from 1 species